UGCGUAGGCGGCCAUUUAAGUCAGGGGUGAAAUAUGUCGGCUCAACCGGCAAACGGCCUCUGAAACUGAAUGGCUUGAGUCCGGGAGAGGAAGGUGGAAUUCCUGGUGUAGCGGUGAAAUGCGUAAAUAUCAGGAGGAACACCGGUGGCGAAGGCGGCCUUCUGGCCCGGUACUGACGCUGAGGCACGAAAGCCAGGGGAGCGAACG
rnacentral:rRNA from 1 species